GUGCUCACUUCAGCAGCACAUACAUUAAAAUUAGAAUGAUACAGAGAAGAUUCGCAUGGCUCCUGCACAAGGAUGACAUGUUUAAAAAAAUUUCUUCUUUAA